AUUGAACGCUAGCGGCAUGCUUUACACAUGCAAGUCGAACGAGUGGCGGACGGGUGAGUAAUAUCUCGGAAAGUGCCUAGUAGAGGGGGAUAACUACUCGAAAGAGUGGCUAAUACCGCAUACUAUUGGAUCGGCCGAACUGGGAUUAGCUAGUUGGUGGGGUAACGGCUCACCAAGGCAACGAUCCGUAGCUGGUUGGAGAGGAGGACCAGCCACACUGGGACGGAGACACGGCCCAGAAUCCUACGUGAGGCAGCAGUGGGGAAUUUUGGACAAUGGGGGAAACCCUGAUCCAGCCAUGCCGCGUGUAUGAGAAGGCCUUCGGGUUGUAAAGUACUUUCAGCAGAGAAGCGGUAACUGCAGAAGAAGCACCGGCUAACUACGUGCCAGCAGCCGCGGUAAUUC
rnacentral:rRNA from 1 species